AUUGAACGCUGGCGGCAGGCCUAACACAUGCAAGUCGAGCGGAUGAAGGGAGCUUGCUCCUGGAUUCAGCGGCGGACGGGUGAGUAAUGCCUAGGAAUCUGCCUGGUAGUGGGGGAUAACGUCCGGAAACGGGCGCUAAUACCGCAUACGUCCUGAGGGAGAAAGUGGGGGAUCUUCGGACCUCACGCUAUCAGAUGAGCCUAGGUCGGAUUAGCUAGUUGGUGGGGUAAAGGCCUACCAAGGCGACGAUCCGUAACUGGUCUGAGAGGAUGAUCAGUCACACUGGAACUGAGACACGGUCCAGACUCCUACGGGAGGCAGCAGUGGGGAAUAUUGGACAAUGGGCGGAAGCCUGAUUCAGCCAUGCCGCGUGUGUGAAGAAGGUCUUCGGAUUGUAAAGCACUUUAAGUUGGGAGGAAGGGCAGUAAGUUAAUACCUUGCUGUUUUGACGUUACCAACAGAAUAAGCACCGGCUAACUUCGUG
rnacentral:rRNA from 1 species